rnacentral:rRNA from 1 species
UUUCGUGGGGGAUAACCAGUCGAAAGACUGGCUAAUACCGCAUGAGCACGAGAGUGGAAAGCGGGGGACCGCAAGGCCUCGCGCGAGAGGAGCGGCCGAUGCCGGAUUAGCUAGUUGGCGGGGUAACGGCCCACCAAGGCGACGAUCCGUAGCUGGUCUGAGAGGACGACCAGCCACACUGGGACUGAGACACGGCCCAGACUCCUACGGGAGGCAGCAGUGGGGAAUUUUGGACAAUGGGGGCAACCCUGAUCCAGCCAUGCCGCGUGUGUGAAGAAGGCCUUCGGGUUGUAAAGCACUUUCGGACGGAACGAAAUCGCGCGAUCUAACAAGCCGCGUGGAUGACGGUACCGUAAGAAGAAGCAC